AGCGUACACGGUGGAUGCCCUGGCAGUCAGAGGCGAUGAAGGACGUGCUAAUCUGCGAUAAGCGUCGGUAAGGUGAUAUGAACCGUUAUAACCGGCGAUUUCCGAAUGGGGAAACCCAGUGUGAUUCGUCACACUAUCAUUAACUGAAUCCAUAGGUUAAUGAGGCGAACCGGGGGAACUGAAACAUCUAAGUACCCCGAGGAAAAGAAAUCAACCGAGAUUCCCCCAGUAGCGGCGAGCGAACGGGGAGCAGCCCAGAGCCUGAAUCAGUGUGUGUGUUAGUGGAAGCGUCUGGAAAGGCGUGCGAUACAGGGUGACAGCCCCGUACACAAAAAUGCACAUGCUGUGAGCUCGAUGAGUAGGGCGGGACACGUGGUAUCCUGUCUGAAUAUGGGGGGACCAUCCUCCAAGGCUAAAUACUCCUGACUGACCGAUAGUGAACCAGUACCGUGAGGGAAAGGCGAAAAGAACCCCGGCGAGGGGAGUGAAAAAGAACCUGAAACCGUGUACGUACAAGCAGUGGGAGCACGCUUAGGCGUGUGACUGCGUACCUUUUGUAUAAUGGGUCAGCGACUUAUAUUCUGUAGCAAGGUUAACCGAAUAGGGGAGCCGAAGGGAAACCGAGUCUUAACUGGGCGUUAAGUUGCAGGGUAUAGACCCGAAACCCGGUGAUCUAGCCAUGGGCAGGUUGAAGGUUGGGUAACACUAACUGGAGGACCGAACCGACUAAUGUUGAAAAAUUAGCGGAUGACUUGUGGCUGGGGGUGAAAGGCCAAUCAAACCGGGAGAUAGCUGGUUCUCCCCGAAAGCUAUUUAGGUAGCGCCUCGUGAAUUCAUCUCCGGGGGUAGAGCACUGUUUCGGCAAGGGGGUCAUCCCGACUUACCAACCCGAUGCAAACUGCGAAUACCGGAGAAUGUUAUCACGGGAGACACACGGCGGGUGCUAACGUCCGUCGUGAAGAGGGAAACAACCCAGACCGCCAGCUAAGGUCCCAAAGUCAUGGUUAAGUGGGAAACGAUGUGGGAAGGCCCAGACAGCCAGGAUGUUGGCUUAGAAGCAGCCAUCAUUUAAAGAAAGCGUAAUAGCUCACUGGUCGAGUCGGCCUGCGCGGAAGAUGUAACGGGGCUAAACCAUGCACCGAAGCUGCGGCAGCGACGCUUAUGCGUUGUUGGGUAGGGGAGCGUUCUGUAAGCCUGCGAAGGUGUGCUGUGAGGCAUGCUGGAGGUAUCAGAAGUGCGAAUGCUGACAUAAGUAACGAUAAAGCGGGUGAAAAGCCCGCUCGCCGGAAGACCAAGGGUUCCUGUCCAACGUUAAUCGGGGCAGGGUGAGUCGACCCCUAAGGCGAGGCCGAAAGGCGUAGUCGAUGGGAAACAGGUUAAUAUUCCUGUACUUGGUGUUACUGCGAAGGGGGGACGGAGAAGGCUAUGUUGGCCGGGCGACGGUUGUCCCGGUUUAAGCGUGUAGGCUGGUUUUCCAGGCAAAUCCGGAAAACUAAGGCUGAGGCGUGAUGACGAGGCACUACGGUGCUGAAGCAACAAAUGCCCUGCUUCCAGGAAAAGCCUCUAAGCAUCAGGUAACAUCAAAUCGUACCCCAAACCGACACAGGUGGUCAGGUAGAGAAUACCAAGGCGCUUGAGAGAACUCGGGUGAAGGAACUAGGCAAAAUGGUGCCGUAACUUCGGGAGAAGGCACGCUGAUAUGUAGGUGAAGUCCCUCGCGGAUGGAGCUGAAAUCAGUCGAAGAUACCAGCUGGCUGCAACUGUUUAUUAAAAACACAGCACUGUGCAAACACGAAAGUGGACGUAUACGGUGUGACGCCUGCCCGGUGCCGGAAGGUUAAUUGAUGGGGUCAGCGCAAGCGAAGCUCUUGAUCGAAGCCCCGGUAAACGGCGGCCGUAACUAUAACGGUCCUAAGGUAGCGAAAUUCCUUGUCGGGUAAGUUCCGACCUGCACGAAUGGCGUAAUGAUGGCCAGGCUGUCUCCACCCGAGACUCAGUGAAAUUGAACUCGCUGUGAAGAUGCAGUGUACCCGCGGCAAGACGGAAAGACCCCGUGAACCUUUACUAUAGCUUGACACUGAACAUUGAGCCUUGAUGUGUAGGAUAGGUGGGAGGCUUUGAAGUGUGGACGCCAGUCUGCAUGGAGCCGACCUUGAAAUACCACCCUUUAAUGUUUGAUGUUCUAACGUUGACCCGUAAUCCGGGUUGCGGACAGUGUCUGGUGGGUAGUUUGACUGGGGCGGUCUCCUCCUAAAGAGUAACGGAGGAGCACGAAGGUUGGCUAAUCCUGGUCGGACAUCAGGAGGUUAGUGCAAUGGCAUAAGCCAGCUUGACUGCGAGCGUGACGGCGCGAGCAGGUGCGAAAGCAGGUCAUAGUGAUCCGGUGGUUCUGAAUGGAAGGGCCAUCGCUCAACGGAUAAAAGGUACUCCGGGGAUAACAGGCUGAUACCGCCCAAGAGUUCAUAUCGACGGCGGUGUUUGGCACCUCGAUGUCGGCUCAUCACAUCCUGGGGCUGAAGUAGGUCCCAAGGGUAUGGCUGUUCGCCAUUUAAAGUGGUACGCGAGCUGGGUUUAGAACGUCGUGAGACAGUUCGGUCCCUAUCUGCCGUGGGCGCUGGAGAACUGAGGGGGGCUGCUCCUAGUACGAGAGGACCGGAGUGGACGCAUCACUGGUGUUCGGGUUGUCAUGCCAAUGGCACUGCCCGGUAGCUAAAUGCGGAAGAGAUAAGUGCUGAAAGCAUCUAAGCACGAAACUUGCCCCGAGAUGAGUUCUCCCUGACUCCUUGA
rnacentral:rRNA from 1 species